rnacentral:lncRNA from 1 species
UGCUGCGCAUGCGUUGUUGCUUAGGUGGUUGCUGACGGAACUGGAGCGAAGUUGAUGCUGACGCCGGCUCAGCGAGCAGUGCACGAAGUUACAGGUUAAGAUGUGAGAAAAUCAGUUCCUCUGAAAGUUUCAAGAUAAAAGUGACGUGGCAAAUCCAGAUAUCAAGAUGGAGUAAUAGCUUUGGUGCAGACAUGGUCUUAAAUCUGCUUGCUUGGCAUAUUGCUCCCUUUUGAAGACAUUUUCAGCUUGAGGAGGGGACUUCAGAUCGAGAUCUUGAACUACUUCAGUUCCAGCAAUGUCUGCUUUUGCUUCAAGGAAGGCAAAAACUGUGAAGCUCUGAGGCUUAUUCUGUCAGGUUUGUACUGAUGUUCAGUAGCAUAACUCUGUNGUUCUCCAGAUUU